rnacentral:ncRNA from 2 species
AUUAAGCCAUGCAAGUGUUAGUUCAGGUAACGAAACUGCGAAUAGCUCAUUAAUACGCUCAGAAUCUAUUUGGCGGCGACCAACAGGUCUUAAAUGGAUAGCAGCAGCAACUCUGGUGCUAAUACAUGCGAUUGUUUCUCCAGAUGUGAAUUAUGGAGGAAAAGUUGACCUCAUCAGAGGCACGCCAUUCGACUGAGUGACCUAUCAGCUUGUACUUAGGGUCUUUACCUAGGUAGGCUAUCACGGGUAACGGGCGGUUACCGUCGGACUGCCGGAGAAGGCGCCUGAGAGAUAGCGACUAUAUCCACGGGUAGCAGCAGGCGCGAAACUUUCCCACUCGAGACUUUCGGAGGAGGUAAUGACCAGUUCCAUUGGUGCCUUUUGGUACUGUGGAUAGGGGUACGGUUUUCCACCGUACCGAAACCUAGCAGAGGGCCAGUCUGGUGCCAGCAGCUGCGGUAAUUCCAGCUCUGCGAGUUUGCUCCCAUAUUGUUGCAGUUAAAACGCCCGUAGUCUGAAUUGGCCAGCAAUGGUCGUACGUAUUUUUACGUUCACUGUGAACAAAUCAGGACGCUUAGAGUAUGGCCACAUGAAUGACUCAGCGCAGUAUGAAGUCUUUGUUUUCUUCCGAAAACAAGCUCAAUGAGAGCCAUCGGGGGUAGAUCUAUCUCAUGACGAGUGGUGGAAUACUUUGACUCAUGAGAGAGAAGCUGAGGCGAAGCGUCUACCUAGAGGGUUUCUGUCGAUCAAGGGCGAGAGUAGGAGUAUCCAACAGGAUUAGAGACCCUGGUAGUUCCUACCUUAAACGAUGCCGACAGGAGUUUGUCAUUUGUUAAUGGCAGAAUCUUUGGAGAAAUCAUAGU